CUUAGCUAUCACUCUUUGAGGGAUGAAGGCCUGCACCAUAACAAGCAAUAAUACAUCCAGAUGUUAAUCUCAAUAAUCUAACCAGGGCUCGUGGACCCCUUGGAUCUAUCUGCAAAGGAGAUGAAGAGCCUACUUGACUUUUGAGGUUGCUUGGUCCUAUCUAAACAGAAAGCCAAUGCCCUUCUAACAUCUAGUGCAUGAAAACAGGACUCCUGCAGAGAACUAUGUGGCUUUGUAACAGAUACUGGUAGAUGAAUGGAUUGGUUAAGGUGGAAUUCCAACAGAACCUUGGGUGUGUCCAACUGGAGAAUAAGUUAUGAGCCAACUCUGAAGGCAGUGGAGAUGUUCCCUCCUCGCGUGAUCAGUCAGAAAGGUGCAAGCUGCCAUAUGCCCCAGAAACCAAAGACAAAGUUCCUUAUUGUGGUUCAAGGGUUCCCCUGAAUUGCCCACACCAGACCUGACACCUUUACAAAUCUGUCUAAGGGAAGCUAAUGACCCCAUUCUGCUCCUGGAACAGAGCAAGGGCUGCCUGGGUGGAAGAUAGCACUGCUUUGUAGGAGCAACCCUUGACUAACCAGUCAUUGAAGUACAGGAAAACUAGAGUCACUUCAUGUCGGAGGUGUAUAGUAGCCUUAGAGUUCUUCAGUGUGUGUAAGAACUCAUCAUGGUCUCAGAGAAAAGCUUAUGGCUGUCGAAGGGGAGAUCCUCAACAAUGUUCUGUACUUCUCUUGGAAACCUCAAGAUUUGGAGCCAUGAUGCCAUGUCCAUCACUACCACUGUGGAGAUGGACUUGGCAGCCAUGUCUGCAGCAUCCAAGGAUGCUUGAAGACCAGUAAUUGGCACCUUCAAAUGGUGGACUGGAAAUGCUCCCUACGUUCUUGUGGGAGAUAGUCAAUACAGGCUGUAAAUCUAUGGUAGUUUGUAAAAUUAUAUUUGGCCAUGACCACCUGAUAGUUCGCAAUCAUGAACUACAGUAUUACUGAUGAAUAGGACUUCCAUCCAAAGAGAUCCAGUCAUAUUUGUCAUAUGGGGGUAGAAUUGGAGAAGUGUUGCCUACCCCGCAUCCACGUUCAUUUACCGCACCCGCCACCAAAGAGCUAGGAGGAGUGGGGAGAACAAAAAAAAAACCACCAGAAUCCCGGGGAGUGUGUGUGGGUGGGGAAGAGACAGACUACUUCUUAUCCACCCACUCACACAUUAGCAGAAUGGUGGCAGGUGUUUGACACAGUCUUAGCUGGACCCUCAUUAAUGGGUAAUGCCACUCUGGAGGAUGUUGCUGAUUGCAGGAUAUCCAACUGUUUGUGCUGAGAGUCCUUGACCUCUGAGUGGAAUCUGAAGAGUGUCAGCUAUCCUCUUUAUGAGGUCUUGAAAUUACUGAAACUUGUCAGCCAUGGAAGUGGCAGAGGCAUAACCUCCUCAUCUGAAGAUUGUGACGUUAUUGACAUGAACUGAGACCAUAUAGAUCAUCGUUGCAACCAAAGUCCUUAGUGGCACCAAAUCUUUUAUAAGAGGGGGUCAAAUAAGGUGUCUAAGA